rnacentral:misc_RNA from 1 species
GCAAAAUGCCUUACGAUCAAAUCAUAUAAUACAAAUGAAGGAUAACAUCUGAAAAAUGGCAUUGCCAUUAAUUAGCUGCCAGCUUAAAUACCCACAUAAAAGGAAGUGAUAACAUAUACUUCCAAACAUAAAGGUAAAUCUGCGGGUACAAGCUAAAAGGGUUAGCCAAUCUUUGAUUCUAACAACAAAGAUACAAAACAGGAAAAAUGUGGCUCUAGACACUGCAUUAUCAUAAUAAAUUCACAAGAAAUAUUAUGAGCUUGCUAUAUAACACGGAGAAAUAAAUGAAUAGAAGAUACAGGAAGCUCCUCGUUUCAUUUAUCCUUCUGAAAUUUCUCCACAUAAGCCUGUACAAGUUUGGUCAGCCUCGGCUUUGAAAAUGACAAAUAGUGUUGAAUUUUUUCUGGUGUUUGAGGAAUAGAAGCCCCCUGCAUAGAACCAAUAACUUUGUCGACUACUUUCUUCACAAUGUUUUUGUAAGCAUCUUUGCUCAAUUGACCUUCCUUCCAUGUGGGUUUCAGAAGCUCCUUAACGAAUUCCACAAGUGCAAACUUAAAUGCCCGAAUCCCCUUAACAUCCUUGCUUUUUCUGCCCUCAUCAGUCUUGUCAUCUCCAUCAAUGUUCUCCAAGGGGUCGUUUUCUUGCGCAGUCUUGUCCUCCUCUAGUUCCCUGCUUUCCUCAGUCACCGCUCCAUUGUUUUCCUUGGUAACUUUGGAAUUUGAACCAGGUUCCAUCUCAUUUAACUGGCAACUCUUGCUACUAGGUUCUUGCAAACUGCGGUACUGGUUAUAACCACCACCAUUUGGUGGGCCAACAACAGAUGGAGAAAAACUUUUGGAUGGCAUUUCUGGUUUCCCAUCUGAAAUGUUUUUCUGUCUAACAAGGUUUGGUGAAAACCCUGGGGGAUUGUUAUUGACAACAUGCUUCUCAGGGGCAAUGUUGUCACAUAUAGGAUUAUACUGCUUCCUCAGCCCUACCUUUUGAUUUGAUUCUGUAGUCACUGCAGAAUCUGGUUUAACAAGCGCCACUGAGUUGGCAUAGGAGGAUAUCUCUGUAUUGUUAUGAACAGAAAGAUGGGGAAGCUGCUGUCCAUUUGCAAGUAAUUGAGCUAGAGAGGAUGAGAUGUUGGUAAGCUGAGUCAGUUGUUCACUGCUUACCUUCUGAGUCUUAGAAACUCCAGAAUUCACUUGUGAUGCAUUUGCUUCCCCAUUAUCUGGCUUGUUAAUAGUCCUUCCCUCCUGAAGCAGCAUCUGAUUUUGAGGAUUCACAUUAUCUCCUGAACUUGAGAUUGUUAAUUGACCUUGUCCAACCACAUUUAAGCAUGGAAGAGGUAAAACAUUUGAAUUCAUGCCGUUCUGAUCAAAGCUUUGUGCAGACAUGAUAUUGGCAUAAACGCUAGCAUGAGAACUGGCAGUUUUUCCAGUAACGCUAUUAUCAUCACGAGGCAAAGCAUUUGCAACAACCUCCCUUAAAUUGUAGUCCUGAUGUUUGGCAGAUGAUUCAUUUAUCAAAGAUGGCAUAACUGCAGUGGCAUCAUGUGCAUGACCUGAAACUUGAGUUAUACUGGCAUUGCAAUUGGUUAAAGCAGGCUCUUGUUUAUCAAUACAUUUGGGGUGUGUAACUAUAUAAUUCCAUUCAGGAGACAUGUCCAUAUCCCCAAGCCAAUUCUCACCACAUGCUCUUUGUUCAGAAGCAAGCAUGUUAUCACUAGCGUUUUCUGCCUUCCAUGUAAGGGCUGUUUCACUCUUGACCAUCUUAUGCUCAACUGGUCGAUCACCAAGUGUCUUAUCUUCCUCCAAACAAUGACCCCAUCCACCAUCAACAGAUCGUGUAGAGCCCCUUUGAUCAGGGGCAACAACUGUAUCAUUUUUAUGCCCACUCAACUUCCCAGUAUCUGAAGCACUUGUAGAGGCCCAUUUUGGGACAUUCCACAAUUUCUCUGGAUCAUCCGUGUUUCGGACAAGUGAAUGUCUGCCAUCCUGUGACCUAUCAGGACUUCCAUGGGCCAAAUCCUGAUGUGAAAACCUGCAGUAUUUUCCAUUUCGACAGUUACCUGCAGCAAAAAAUUUGCAGGGAACAUUAGCUGCUCUGAAGGUUUCACGGUCACCUUGUCUCUCUAGAGAUGCAUCUCUAUGUCUUCUGUCAUUAUUUCUUUGCCUAAUUACCUCAUUAGAAGACCCCUUAGCAGCUGCAUUAGAGGCAACAUGAUGAGAAAACCUGCAGCAGGCAACCCUCCUACAGUCGCCUUUAAGAAAAACAUUACAACAAUCAGUAGAUCUUCCACUCCCUGAGGAGUACUCCCUGGAUUCAUGGGGAGUGGUAUAUUUUGAAGUUACAGUUUUCCUGUGUCUUUCCCAGCCAUCCUCAUAACUUUGAGUACCUUGGUGAAGAAAUUGACAGUGACUACCUCUCCUGCAUCUCCCAACAGCAAAAUCUUUACAUAAUUGAGCUGAUACACCUGAUCUGCUUCUACUUCUCUCGUACAAUCCUGAUUCUCGCCCAAAGCCACGGACUGGACUUCUACUCCUGCUCCGGCUCUCGCUCCGGCUCCUACUUCUUCUUGAUCUUUUCCAUUCACUUUUAGGAGAGUUGCGUCGGUUU